rnacentral:misc_RNA from 1 species
UGAUCUUUCUGGAUCUGGAAUUGGAGGAUAACAUAACAUGACCAAACUACUUGAGAUUUAAUUUAAUCUGAAUCAAUUGGAUGGCUAUGUAAGACUGUUUGUUUGAUUUGAUUCGAUUCUGAAGCUGCCAGUUCUUGUAUUCUGUACCAUUUGAGAUUCUUGGAAAAGGGAUAUUAUUUUCUCGCCACCCUUUAAAUCUAUCCUGGUUUGUUUUCACAUGUUGUACUUGUGCCCUUCUUUUUUUUU